GAGAAAAGAAGAAAAGAGGGAGAAAGAAAAAGAGAAGAAAAAGAAGAAAAGAAGAAGAAGAAAGGGAUGGUUUUUGGAGAGAAUUUUUUUUUUACAUCUUGUGAUAGAAAAGAAAAGAAUUAUUGAAAGAGUUUAUUCAUAGGAAGAUUUUACAAUAGUUUAAGCACACCUAUAUAUCUAUUGAAGUUGAAUUAAAAACAGAUUAUCAUUUGAAUUCGAAGUUGUGUAGUGGAAGGUCAUCCCUUUGCUCGUUUCGUCUCUAGCUCGCUGCCCCGAAGAAGGUAUUUAAAACUGAUUUGUGUUGAUAAGUUGGUUGAUCGUCCGUAUUUCACAAGGUUAAAGGCUCCAAAGAUUCCUUCCCCAAUCAAAUUUGCAAAAAGAAAAGACAUCGAUGGGGGAUAACAAUGAUGAGAUUGACAUGAAUGAUGUUGUCGUGGCUCAACCCGCUGCGCUGAUAAAAAUGAACUAAUUAUGCAGUUGAUGCAACAGAUUGCCAAAAUGAGGGUCGAAAUGCAAAGAAUACAAGGAGCCGUUGGACAUGACACAGAGAAUUGUUCGACUCUGAAGCACAAGAUACAAAACAUGAUCAACAACAACUUGAUCAAUAUUGAGGAAACCACCUGAAUGGACGACAUAUUGGAUACUCAAGAGUGAGUACAAGACAUUUCUGAAUUGAGCCGUUUGAAGAUAUUCAUCAUCAAAGGUCGAGAAAAAGAAUGUCCAACAUUGGCCAAAUUUUGCAUAUGAAGUUUUGUUACCUUCCCUUUGAAAAUGUAUCGCACAUUUCUAACGAA